AUCUUUCUUGCAGGGGGACUUUCUCAAUUUGUUUGCUUCUUUAUAUUGAGCACAAACUGUCCUCAGUUUCCAAGCACUAAAGGAAAAGCCGUUUUCCUCUCUUGCUCACCCAGGGGUGUAUGUACAAAUGCCUGAGGUUAUCAGUCUCUCUCCUCUUCUUGUCACCUUGUUGAGACAAGUCUUUUUAAAAAAAUACUUCCUUGCACUGAACUUUGAGUGGACUAAUUUGAUUCUCCGUAGGAUGUCUGAUGAUGGCCAUGCCUUCUGACUGCUGAGCAAAGUAAAUUGCAUGGGCAAAGCUUUGAAUGCAAGGCCUGGAAAUUGUGUGUGCUUUCUGGCUGUAGGCAAGAAGAUGUCAGCAUUGUACAGUGCAUUCUCCCCCUCCCCGUUCUCCCCCCUAAGGAGGAUUUUAUUGUGCCAUCAGAAUAAAAGAUCACCCUUGUA